rfam:Acinetobacter sp. CAG:196 genomic scaffold, scf226
GCGUCUGUAGCUCAGUAGGAUAGAGCGGAGGUUUCCUAAACCUUGUCUGCCGUGGGUUCGACUCCCUCCAGGCGCA